UUGCCCUAGUAACGGCGAGUGAAGCGGCAAUAGCUCAAAUUUGAAAUCUGGCGUCUUCGACGUCCGAGUUGUAAUUUGUAGAGGAUGCUUCUGAGUGGCCACCGACCUAAGUUCCUUGGAACAGGACGUCAUAGAGGGUGAGAAUCCCGUAUGCGGUCGGAAAGGCGCUCUAUACGUAGCUCCUUCGACGAGUCGAGUUGUUUGGGAAUGCAGCUCUAAAUGGGAGGUAAAUUUCUUCUAAAGCUAAAUAUUGGCCAGAGACCGAUAGCGCACAAGUAGAGUGAUCGAAAGAUGAAAAGCACUUUGGAAAGAGAGUUAAAAAGCACGUGAAAUUGUUAAAAGG
rnacentral:rRNA from 1 species